GAACGCUAGCUACAGGCUUAACACAUGCAAGUCGAGGGGAAACGAUAUUGGAAGCUUGCUUCUGAUAGGCGUCGACCGGCGCACGGGUGAGUAACGCGUAUCCAACCUGCCCAUCACUUGGGGAUAACCUUGUGAAAGUAAGACUAAUACCCAAUGACGUCUCUAGAAGACAUCUGAAAGAGAUUAAAGAUUUAUCGGUGAUGGAUGGGGAUGCGUCUGAUUAGCUUGUUGGCGGGUAACGGCCCACCAAGGCGACGAUCAGUAGGGGUUCUGAGAGGAAGGUCCCCCACAUUGGAACUGAGACACGGUCCAAACUCCUACGGGAGGCAGCAGUGAGGAAUAUUGGUCAAUGGACGAGAGUCUGAACCAGCCAAGUAGCGUGCAGGAUGACGGCCCUAUGGGUUGUAAACUGCUUUUAUAAGGGAAUAAAGUGGGAGUCGUGACUCUUUUUGCAUGUACCUUAUGAAUAAGGACCGGCUAAUUCCGUG
rnacentral:rRNA from 1 species